rnacentral:rRNA from 1 species
UGGGCAAUCUGCCCUUCUCUUCGGAAUAAGCGUUGGAAACGACGUCUAAUGCCGAAUACGACCCCUUUCGCAUGAUCGGAGGUGGAAAGCUCCGGCGGAGAAGGAUGAGCUCGCGGCCUAUCAGCUAGUUGGUGUGGAUAAUGGCCCACCAAGGCGACGACGGGUAGCCGGCCUGAGAGGGUGACCGGCCACACUGGGACUGAGACACGGCCCAGACCUCCGUACGGGAGGCAGCAGG